UACGAAGGGUGCAAGCGUUGUUCGGAUUUAUUGGGCGUAAAGCGCGCGCAGGCGGAUGUGUGUGUCAGAUGUGAAAUCUCGGGGCUCAACCCCGAAACUGCGUCUGAAACUGCAGAUCUAGAAUAUCGGAGGGGGCAGGGGAAUUUCACGUGUAGGGGUAAAAUCCGUAGAGAUGUGAAGGAACACCAGAGGCGAAGGCGCCUGCCUGGACGAUUAUUGACGCUGAGGCGCGAAAGCGUGGGGAGCAAACAGG
rnacentral:rRNA from 1 species